GGAAACUCCUAUAUAAAAAAAAAAUGUAUGGAAACCUCGUCUCAGUUCAGCCAACCUAACAAGAUAAAUAAUAAACUGGCAACACAAAGGCAGAAUUGUCAAAUACUUCAAUUUUCAAAACUAAACCGUGACGAAAAGAAAAUAUUGUGAUUCCGUGGUGUUUUACUUGUUUUCUAUCAUUCAUUCGGUUUUCUCCAUCUGAACAGUGCAGUGCGUCGAGUUGAGCAAUUAAGUUCCUCCGUAGUGUUUCAGUUGUGUGAUAUUUUCCUAUUCACAAACAAAAGACGUCGAGUUGAAGCAGUGUGCUCCUCCGUCCGCUGUUUUUGAGUAAGAUUACUGAGAUAGAGACUCAUUAUGGGUGGAAAGAGUAGAAUUUGUGAAAUUUGUGGCGUUAGAGAACGACACAGGCCGGGAUUCUUUGCCAAUUUCCCGAUUGAUGAGCAAAGGUGUAGAACUUGGGUUCAAAUUGUUGGUAAAGAAGAUCUAGUGCAUAUACCAAUUGAAAAGCUUCACCAAGUACGUUUUGUUUGUGGAGAUCACUUCAUAGCAAAGGACUUCAACAAAAAAGGCAAUCGCCUGAAAAAAAGGGCUUACCCUAAGCUGCACCUCUCUGCACAACCAUUGAGUGACCACCAAUUAAAAGAUUUUCCUCAACAUGUUGCAAGCAAAGCUUUGGCUCCUACACCCAUGGUUGACAAUAUUGCAACAGCUGCAAUUGCGUCAUCAUCCAAAAUGCAGAAUAUGGCAG